UUUAGCAGCCAUAUCACCCUGCAGCCCAAGACUGGUUGCCCACUGAAGCUAAGCAAGGUUGAGCCUGGUCAGUACCUGGAUGGGCGACCUCUUUGGAAAACUAAACCGGGGCCUCUCAGU
rnacentral:rRNA from 1 species